CCAAAGCCUGUAAUUCCUUUCAGAGGUCAACCAUUCUCACGACCAGAGAGUCUUUCACAAAAGUUAAAUCCACAAAGUUAAAGCUAGUGUAAAACUUCUACAGCUCAAUGCCUGUUCUAUAUUAGAAGAUGUUACUGGACACGAGAAACCAAAGCGAAGGAGUCUUAAACUGAGGAUUAUGCCAGUCUGAAAUGGGAGAACAGAAUUCAAACAUCGAUAUCAC